GGGCCUACGGAGGCAGCAGUGGGGAUAUUGUACAUGGGCGCAAGCCUGAUGCAGCAACGCCGCGUCAUGGAUGAAGGCCUUCGGGUUGUAAACCUCUUUUAGGGGAAGAAGCGAAAGUGACGGUACCUGCAGAAAAAGCACCGGCUAACUACGUGCCAGCAGCCGCGGUAAU
rnacentral:rRNA from 1 species